rnacentral:lncRNA from 1 species
CGGGGAGCGUAAGGGUGGCAAGGCGCCCGAGAGUCAGGGCUGGAGCUGAAGGUGGGUGACAGGGAGGGGGCGCCCAGGUGUCAGGACCUGAGGAGAAAGAGUGCGCGUAGCGGGAGGGCCCCGAAGUGUCGGGGCGGGAUCCUGGAAGGAGGGAGAACGUGAGGAGGGAGGAAGGGUCCCUGGGGUGUCAGGGAUGGGGGCCAGGAAAGGGGCAGAGAGCUGGAGGCCCACAAGUGGGGAUAGCGGGGGAGGGAGGUUGGAGCGAGUGGGGAACGCAGGUGGUGUCGAGGGCGGGGACAGGGCGAGGGGAGCGGGGCGUGAGGAAGUUGUGGGAAACCGCGCUGGACGCUGAGAAUGUGCGGAAGGAUCCUGAGGGGAGGACGCGAGACAGCGCGAGGAGAGACGAGGAGAGUUAGGGUUGGCCGGGAGGGUGCGAAGAUGAAGCGACCACUGGAGGCUGUGAGGGUGAAAGGAGCAAGAAUCGUCUAGAGACGGGCUGGGCCGGUGCUGGGGCCAAAGGCUUCUGUCUGUCAGGCCCUUUUUGGCGCUCACUCUAGAAAGAAGAGGCGGAGACGCGAAGAGAUCGGGUUAGAGUCAGAUUUUCGAAGCACGGAGAUGGGUUCAAUGAAAGGACGAGGAAAGACGAGAAACCAGCGGCCGGAGAACGGAGGUGGCCGCCGCCGUCCUUUGCUCUGCUCGGGGCUGGGCGCCGCCCGGAGAGCCCUCCCGGAGGGGGCGGGGCGGGGCCGGGUGAACAGAGCUGGGCGGGCUCGCCAGCUCUUCCAGGCGCCCUGGGCAAGCAAUAGUUCAACAAUUUUUAUGAAUUUCUAAUCCAACCUCAUCAUCCUAUGGGAAACAGAAGACCACCAAGAACAGCCAGCUGAGACAGAAUUUCACUGUGUUGCCCAAGCCAAUCUUAAACUCCUGGUCUCAAGCGAUCCUCCUGCCUUGGCCUCCCACUGUGCCUGGCCUAUGGACUCUGAAUUUUUUUAAAAGACUGGAAAAAACUUUUAUAAGAGAAUUGGAAAUUUGGACAAUGGAAUCUCAUUCUGUCACCAGGCUGAAGUGCAGUGACGUGAUCUUGGCUCACUGCAACCUCCACCUCCUGGGUUCAAGCGAUUCUCCUGCCUCAGCCUCCUGAGUAGCUGGGAUUACAGGUAUCUUGGCAGUAACCUCCUCCAUAUAUUUCCUUGGCCCUCAGCUUACAUCUAGCAAAAUGACUCUACUGGUUCCAGGCUUCACAUGCAUACAACAUGGUGUUGGAGGAACAGAGAUGUUUUCUCUUCCUGGUGUUUUCCCAGACAUUUCUUAGCUGGCAUUUCAAACAAGGGUCCUGAAAUUCACCCUGGUUGGGUCGUGUUCUCCCCUUCCCAUUCCCCAUCCCCACCCUCAACCGAAAAAUGAUGUAAGCAGGGGAAAUUGAAUGUACCAAUGUUUGUUUUUAAACAAGCCACAGACCCCUCCCCAACUCCCCGACUGAAGCUUGAAGUGGGAUCAGCUUUCCCUAAAGUACUUGAGCUUAUGGUAAAGCAUAUAUGUUAUCCAAGUUAAAGUCUGGACGCUGUUAGUAAUGGGAAGGCAAGUAAUGAAUGUUAGCUAUGGAGCCAACAGACAGUGUCCACUCCAUUGUCUUUAAGGCCCAACUAAAGAUAACCUCUUUACCAAUGUCGGUUUAUUUAUUCAUUUAUUUAUUCAUUGAGAUGGAGUCUCACUCUCUCACCCAAGCUGGAGUGCAGUGGAAUGAUCUCAGCUGACUGCAAUUUCUGCCUCCCAGGUUCAAGCAAUCUCCUGCUUCAGCCUCCCAAGUAGCUGGGAUUACAGGCGCACACCACCAUGCCCGGCUAAUUUUUGUAUUUUUAGUAGAGAUAGGGUUUCACCAUGUUGGCCAAGCUGGUCUCGGACACCUGACCUCAAGUGAUCUGCCUGCCUCGGCCCCCAAAGGUGUGAGCCACUGCACCUGGCUACAAUGUCAGUUUCUAUAAAAACUGCCUUGACUUGUUUUGUUUGCUUGUUUUGUUUGUUUGUGUUUUAAUUUUUAUUAUUUUUUUUUAGAGACAGGGUCUCAAUCUGUUGUCUAGGCUUGAGUGCAGUGGUGCAAUCAUAGCUCACUGAAGUGUUGGACUCCCAGGCUCAAGCAGUCCUCCCACCUCAGCCUCCCAAGUAGCUGAGACUACAGGCAUGCACCACCCUGUCUGGCUAAUUUUUUAUUUUUAGUAGAGAUGAGGUCUCACUAUGUUGCCCAAGGUGGCCUCAAACUCCUGGCCUCAAGUACUCCUGUGGCCUUAGCCUCCCAAAGCUCUGGGAUUGCAGGUAUGAGCCGCCAUGCCUGGCCUACUGUAUAUUUUAUGCAUUUGAUAUAAGUCUUGCCUCCCUAAGUAUAUUACAAGUCCCUUGAAGUUAAAGACAUUAGAUUCCUACUCAGUGCUGAGCUGCAACAGAGAGCACUCAAUGAUGGAUAAAAUAGUUUUAGCAUGCAUUCAGCGAUAUAUAUUUAGAAAGUGGAACUAGGUGGUUGAAAAAAGUGUAUAGAUGGGUGGAAGGGAAUAUUACAGCUCUUAGAAUUGUCCUAAGGUGAGAGUAACAAAUUAAGCAAUGAGUCCCUGGGUUCACUCAAGCAACUUCACUCUCUAAAACAAGAGCCCACAGAAUCCCAUUUCUGCUUUCAGAAUGAGUUUGAGGCCAAUAUUAUUUCCAUUUUUUUUCUUUUUCUUUCUUUCUUUUUUUUUUUUUUUUUUUUGAGACGGAGUUUCACUCUUGUUGCCCAGGCUGUUUUGAUCUCGGCUCACUGCAACCUCUGCCCCUGGGUUCAAGCGAUUCUCCUGUCUCAACCUCCCAAGCUGGGAUUACAAGCAUGCGCUACCACACCUGGCUAAUUUUGUAUUUUUAAUAGAGACGGGGUUUCUCUGUGUUGGUCAGGCUGGUCUCAAACUCCCAACCUCAGGUGAUCUGCCCACCUUGGCCCAGCCUCCAAUAUGAUUUUCUAAUAGCUGUGUUUGAUGAUUAUAUUUAUUCCUCCAUCAGUAGCUUUUUUAGCCUUGAAAAUAUCUAUUUAAGUUUCUUAUUUCCUUUGGAUCUAUCAAAGUGUUUUUCCCCAAGUGGCACCUGGGAAAACAUAUUCUAUUCAUUUAUUUUAUAACUGUUCCCUUGACCUCUUUAUUGCUUCCCUAUUACAACCCAAGAUGCUCUUGUAAACCUGACUUAAUAUUGGCAGUCUUCAUCCCUUGCAAAUGGAAGUGAUGACAGACCCAAUACUUUGUGUAAAAAUAUUUUGCUAUUUCUAUACAAAAUAUUUUAUUAAUGGAAACCACAUGUUAUGUAUUUUACAUAUGUUAUGACUUGAAAUUUAUGUUAUGACUUGAAAUUGGGGAAUCUGAUAUGUCUCUAAUAAUAAAGGCUUCACAGUA